GGCAUGUAUAGCCCUAACUGUGCGACGGCCACGAGGAGCAAACGAGAAGACGCAACUUGGCGGUUUACGACGGUUCGCUGUGUAUCCGAUCUUUUGACUCGCGACUUAGGAUAUGCGUGGCAGUGCGUAGUUUGAGGCAGUUUGACAUGUGGAUUUAGACGCUUCGCAACCUAUUGUUUUGCAGGUGUGUGAUUCGAGUCGGUGUUGCUCUUGGCUAGCAGAUAGGAUUACUCGUUUAUUUGGUGGAAUGCAUUCGACUUGUUAGAAAUUAAAUAACAUUUUGACUUUUUAUUUA